AUAAUGACUUUUGGCGAACCGGGUUAUAUAGAUAUACUGAUUUUUUAAGUUAUUUAAGAAAACACUAUUACUUGUAGUCAUAUGUCGUUUCUUUCUCUUCAAUUCUCAUAGGAAAGUCACCUUCACUAUACCAUAUAGAUAAUACUUAUGCAAUUGUCUGUUUUAUUGUUUGUAUUUGACCACGCCAUAACCAUUUAAUGUUAAUAUGCAUGUGCAAACAAAUAUUGUCUAUUGUCUUUAAAAUUAAUUGGCUGACAAUGCUUAUAUAUAAUAUAAUAUAUAAAGUGCAUUGCUGUGGAAGCAUUUGUUUUGACAACAAACAUCUAUAAAAGUGAAAUAACUUCGUCAACAGUGUCAAUUUAUAACCUGUAGUUCGGGAGAAACUCGGUCAUUUAUAAAGACAUGGGAGUGGUUGAUGAUUUUAAGGGAGCAUCUAUUUUUUGUAAAGUAGCCUUUAUUUUAUUAUUAAUUGCUACUUUAUUUACAUGCAUUUCCUAUACGACAGCUGAUUGGGUUUAUAAUGAUCUAGGUGCUAAUCCAUUACAUUGGGGUUUAUGGAGAAUAUGUGGAGAAACAGAAGUGCCAGUAGGAACGGGAUGUGAAUCUAUAGAUGGCUGGGCGAAUGAUUGGUAUGGUGUAGUUCAAGCAUUUGUGACCUUUGGAUUUUUUGGCAUUUUAGUUUCCUUUUUCUUAGUUGUACUGUACAUAUUUGUUGGCAAAUGUCAGAAAAAUGGAGAAGUUGCCAUUGCAGUUGCUAUUAUUUGUAUUGCCACAGGGGUAUUUUAUUUGAUCGGCAUUAUAAUUUUUGGUGCCAAAGUGAACGACAAGUGGGUAGAAGAUGCCACUACUGACUAUAAGUUUGGUUAUUCAUUUGCUCUAUCAAUCAUCGCAUUUUUGCUAGAAAUUGGUGCUGGGGUGUUGAUGAUUGUGGAAGGUAAAGGCGGAGGAGGAGGAGGAGGAGGAGGAACUAAACCAUCCGCAUAAUUUUUUACACUUGCUUCUAAUCAAUUAUUACAGUAAGAAGCGCCAUAACUUAUGUUUAUAUUGUAUUGAUGGUCAUUUGGGGGGCUUCAAAUGUAUUUGAUUUCAAUCGGUAUUUUAAGAAUAUCUUCAGAUUGGAUAUGAAAUGUCUAUUUGCAUGUUAGCUGAUUUGUUUAUGUUAAACAGAUUUUCUUAAAUAUCUUAACAAAUUUGUUUUUAUCUAUAUAUGUAGACAAAGUUUGAUUUAUGUAUACUGAAUAUAAUGAUACAUAACUGGUAUCCUAAUUUUGGGUUUCGUUCUUUGUUUUAAUAUUUAUCAGACCGUGAGGUGCACUAUAAACCCUGUAUAAAAUAUUCACAUCUUUGUCCUUUGUUUUCAUUUCUUUAUCUUUUUCAAUAAAAGAUUGCCAAGUUUCUAAGCUUUUUCUUCUAGGAAAUAACAUAGCUACAGUUUUCCUUAGAGAAAUUUAAAAACCACACGAAGAACACCAUUUACAUAUAACAUCUAGUCUUGUUGUAUUUUUUCUGUAAAAAACUUAAUGCAUGCACCUGAUUUCCAUAUAGUACCGUCAUCUGCAAAUUGUGAAAUUUCACAAUCUGGUAAACAAUUGAUAAAUCAUUGACAAUAAUAUUGAAUCAAGUGAACUAAUACAUAUAAUUGUUAACUUUUUAUACAUUGUGACUUGGAUGGAGAGUUGUCUCAUUGGCACUCAUACCACAUCUUCUUAUUUAUAGUACAAAUCUUUUAAAGGGUACGUCUCCCAGUUUGUUCAACUCCAUGCAAUACACGCAAUGGUCGAUGAAGUUAUGUAUCAACUCGUAUUUAGUCUACUACCCAAUAAACAACAUCAACUCUAACUAGCACCACAGAUACAGACUUUGAGACAGCAACCCGUUAUUUCGCCCAACGAACAUUAGACAGCAAUACCUUGAGAAGCUGCCUUUUCUAUUACACUCAAUAAAUGUUUCUCAGAUACUAUCUUAAAGCAAUGAGCUGUCUAUAUUUGGUGUAUGGCAUGAUUUUAAAGUGUACAGGGUUCAUCUGACCAUAUUACAGACUUAUAAUAUAUUCAAUCAUGAUAUCAUAGGUAAAGCAGGCAAGAUAAUCAAGCGUGUACACGUUUGUUUAUUAAUUAAACCGUGUAUGCUUAAUUUAAAGAUUUUAAUUUCUUUGUAUAAAACUAUAAAUGUGCCCACAAUUUAAAGCAUUUUUCCUGUACCUUCCUUUUUUGAUUUUUCAGUGUAUUUUUCAAUUAUUGCUUAAUAUUGUUGAUUAUUCUAUAGGAUUGUAAAAUAGUUUCGUAGUUAAAAUCACUGUUUUGUAUAAUAGUGCUCUUUGAUGUAAUAAAUAUAUAUUUUUUUCAAUAAUUCCAAUUCAUACUUUUUUCUAACGAUCAUUCAAAAGUUAAACUGAGCUGGAUUCACUGUAACUCCAUUUACAGGUAAUUUCCUUAGUCCCUAUUGCCAAAAAAUCACGUUUCUCCAACAAGAAAUUAUUUGCCAGUAUACAAAAAUAUCAAAUGUUGGAGAAACGUGAACACACCGUCCUUUGGUCUUUAUGGAAAGGUGUCUCGUUGGCAAUCCUACCAUAUCUCCUUUUAAAAUGUAUUUUACUAACAAGUCUUUUCUAGAUGCAACACUUAUACGUGGAAAACUGAACAAUAGAAAGUAGAUUUCCUCUUAAUUUUCUGUCAUUAUAUCUAUGGUGAAAUAUGUACACAGGCUUAACAAAUUGGACGAUGGGUUGCUUUAUGAUGCUUAUGUUUGUAAUAAAAUUUUAGAUGCAGGAAACAUCAAUUGUUGGUAUUCAUCUAUAUUUAGAUAUGUACUUCAAUCACUUGAUAUACAAAAUUUGAAUACAAAAGUCAAUAAACUUAUUAAAUUGGUAAAAUGUAAACAUUGUAACAGUUUUAAAACAUUUUGGUUGGUCAAAAGAUCUGAUACCUUAUCACAAGGUAAUAGUAAAUUAGAAAACUAUUUCAACCUAAAGACUGACUUUGUAAAGGAGGCUUAUUUGUCAAUUAAAGAAUUUAAUAUAAGAAGAGCUAUAUGUAAAAUGAGAAUAAGUGCUCAUGAUCUUAGAAUUGAGAAAGAUAGAUAUAGUAAAAAAAAAUACAUAGAGAGAACUCAGCGACUAUGUGAUCACUGCUUAUCACAUGGAAUAAAUUCUAUUGAAGAUGAGACCCAUUUUACAUUAAGUUGUCCUUAACUAGUAACGAACAGAGAAAAUUAUUAUUGGAUAAAGUAAACAGUUUUCAGUGUACUAAUUUUAAAGAAUUACCCAUGGAUAAAAAAUAUUUCUUGCCUGUUCACAAAUGAGCAUUUACCAACUCUUAUGUGCCUAGGAAAUUAUAUUAUUCCGUGUUAAGAAAUAAGAUCCAGGUGGAAACAAAAUAUAUUAAUGAUAUUCGAUUAUUAUGAGAUAUGUUGUAAUAGUUAUAUAAGACACAUGAUGUGUUAGGCUCUGAUCCUGUCCAUAACAUGAUUGAAUUAUAUUAGGUUCUUGUUUUUCUUUUUUCCAAUCAUAUUGUGCAUAUUGUUGUUGUGAAAUAUGCCGUUUAUGGGUUCUUGAUUAGAUUAAUAAAAUUCUUAUCUUAUCUUA